rnacentral:rRNA from 1 species
ACAUGCAGUCGACGGCACCUCGGGGUGCUUGCCCUGUCUGGCUAGUGGCCAACGGGAUGAGUAAACAUCCGAACGUACCUUGUACUGGGGAAUAGCUCGGCCAACGCCAAAUUAAUACCACACACGCUCUGACGAUGACACCGGGGGACCUUCGAGCCUCGACGCUACCAGACCGGCCCAUGUCAAAUGACCUGCUUCGUGGGGUAAAAGCUCACCAAGGACCACCAUCUCUAGGUGGCAGACAGGACCACCCGCCACACGUGUGAACUGACACACGGCCCACACUCCUACGGGAAGCAGCCGUGGGGAAUUUUGGACAAUGGGACCAACGCCUGAGCCAGCAAUGCCGCGUGUGUGAAGAAGGCCUUCGGGUUGUAGAGCACUUUUGUCCGGAAAGAAAUCCUCUGGGUUAAUACCUCGGGGGGAUGACGGUACCGGAAUAAUAAGCACCGGCUAACUACCUGCCACAACCGCGGGAAUACAUACGGUGCAAGCGUUAAUCGGAAUUACUGGGCGUAAAUCGUGCGCAGGCAGUCUUGUAAGAGCGAUGUGAAAUCCCCGGGCUUAACCUGCGAAGUGCAUUCGUGACUGCCACGCUAGACUAUGUCACAUGGGUGUAGAAUACCACAUGUAACAUUGACAUGCAUAGAUAUGUGGAGGAAUACUGAUGACGAACGCCGCCGCCUGGGGCAACACUGACGCUCAUGCAUGACACCGUGGCGAGCAAACAGGAUUAGAUACCCUGGUAAUCCACGCUGUAAACGAUGUCCACUAGUUGUUGGGGAUUCGUUUCCUUAGUAACGUAACUCACGCGUGCAGUUGACCGCCUGGAGACUACCGUCGCGAGAUUUACACUCACAGGAUUGACCGGGACCGCACAACCGGUGCAUGAUCUAGAUUAAUUCUAUGCAGCGCGAAUAACCUUACCUCCCUUGACAUGUCCGGAAUCUGCUCACACGUGGGAGUGUUCAAAUGAGACCUUCACACAGGUACAGCAUAGCUGUCGUCAACUCGUGUCUCAGAUCUUGGGUUAAACCCUCAACUAAAGCCCCCCUUG